CACAAACAUCCGCUUCUAAGCGUGACGAAACUGCAGCUCGACGAAUCUUCUAUUGCGAAUAUGAUAUUGGGAUAGAACAACAAUGCAUACUUGUUGCGCGUUAUUCGUUUGUUUGUUGGUGAUUUGGGUUGACGGUUGCCAUGGUUACCAAUGCUGCACGAGUUAUACGGAUUACAGCGAGACCUACCACCCCUCACAGCGGUGUGAGGACUACUGCUGCUUUCAGGUGAACUUGAAAAACUACAAGAUCUGCUGCAACGAUGAGAAGAUGAUGGUUCCCUCAACGGAAAGGGACCAAGACUCCUGCGUAAAGAGCUGGAUAGAGGAACACGUCUGGGUCCCGAUUGUUAGCUGCAUUCUCCUUGUCGGUCUAAUCGUUUUGUGUUGUUUGUGCUGUUGCGGUUGCUUUACAUGCUGUAGGAGAGGACGUACCGUGAUGAAGCUGUCCGCAUAAUCCAGUGUAAUUGCGCAGAACACGAACGUCAUGCACGCUGGAUAUUACCAGUUAUCCGGAUAAUGCCUGGGUACGGCUUCUCUGCAGUACCGAACAUGCAACCUGUACAUGUCACAAUACUAUUUUGAAACAGAUGUUUUUUCUAUUUUUUUAAAGAACAAAAUAAGAAAUAUAAGUAAUCUUUGGUGAACGCCUCAUUUGGGUAGUUGUGUAAAUAUAAUACAUGUGUAAUAUCCGUUGAACAUAUCGGAAAUAUACAAAUAUUUUAUUAUAGUAUUGUUUUGAUACACUGCGUUUUCAGAGCUAUUCUUUUGAAAUAUAUAACAAAGAUUUCCCAAUAAAUUUAGUCUUGCUAUGAAACAAAGGACCUACUGCAUGUCAGUAAAGUGUUGUUCCAGAAUAGUCUGUUCAGUCAGCAGGACGACGUGAGAGUAAAGUGUUGUCCAAGAUUAGUCUGUUCAGUCAGCAGGACGACAUGUGAGUAAAGUGUUGUCACAGAUUAGUCUGUUCAGUCAGCAGGACGACAUGUGAGUAAAGUGUUGUCCAAGAUUAGUCUGUUCAGUCAGCAGGACGACAUGUGAGUAAAGUGUUGUCCCAGAUUAGUCUGUUCAUUCAGCAGGACGACAUGAGAGUAAAGUGUUGUCCCAGAUUAGUCUGUCCAGUCAGCAGGACGACAUUUUAGUAAAGUGUUGUCCCAGAUUAGUCUGUUCAAUCAGCAGGACGUCGUGUGAGUAAAGUGUUGUCCCUGAUUAUUCUGUCCAGUCAGCAGGACGACAUGUGAGUAAAGUGUUGUCCAAGAUUAGUCUGUUCAGUCAGCAGGACGACAUGUAAGUAAAGUGUUGUCCCAGAUUAGUCUGUCCAGUCAGCAGGACGACAUGAGAGUAAAGUGUUGUCACAGAAUAGUCUGUUCAGUCAGCAGGACGACAUGUGAGUAAAGUGUUGUCACAGAAUAGUCUGUUCAGUCAGCAGGACGACAUGUGAGUAAAGUGUUGUCACAGAUUAGUCUGUUCAGUCAGCAGGGCGACAUGUGAGUAAAGUGUUGUCCCAGAUUAGUCUGUUCAUUCAGCAGGACGACAUGUGAGUAAAGUGUUGUCCCAGAUUAGUCUGUUCAUUCAGCAGGACGACAUGUGAGUAAAGUGUUGUCCCAGAUUAGUCUGUUCAUUCAGCAGGACGACAUGAGAGUAAAGUGUUGUCCCAUAUAAGUCUGUUCAGUCAGCAGGACGACAUUUUAGUAAAGCGUUGUCCCAGAUUAGUCUGUUCAGUCAGCAGGACGUCGUGUGAGUAAAGUGUUGUCCCUGAUUAUUCUGUCCAGUCAGCAGGACGACAUGUGAGUAAAGUGUUGUCCCAGAUUAGUUUGUUCAGUCAACAGGACGACGUGUGAGUAAAGUGUUGUCCCAGAUAAGUCUGUUCAGUCAGCAGGACGACAUGUGAGUAAAGUGUUGUCCCAGAUAAGUCUGUUCAGUCAUCAGGACAACAUGUGAGUAAAGUAUUGUCCCAGAUAAGUCUGUUCAGUCAGCAGGACGACAUGUGAGUAAAGUGUUGUUCCAGAUUAGUCUGUUCAGUCAGCAGGACAACAUUUAUCACCAAACAGGAUUUUUGCUAAGGAGAGACUUCCUUUAAACGUCAAUACCUUAGAAGCGAUUGUCGUCCCUGAUUAGCCUAUGCGGACUUCACAGGCUAACAUGGGGCGACACUUUAUCACAUGCAUUAAGCCCCGUAUUAUUUCAACCUAGAAUAACUCUAAGUAGGUUGUCAUCGAUUAACAUUUAAGCCGCCUCAUGCAAAAAUGUGUGAUAUGCCAUAUGCCAGCCUAGUUCCAGACCAGACAGCGCAUUUGUACAGUCUGGUCAGGCAUUACCCCUGUUUGAAAUAAAGUCACGAACGUUUUUGCUGUUACAUUAGCGGACUGCGUAAUAUUUUGGUCUGAAUUUGGAGAUACUUUUUUCAAAAAUAAACAUUCCAGUAUUGUAUCUUAGUGAUGUACUACCCCGCUCUGUAUUACACAUUCAUGUAAUUCCAUUAUAUAACCAUAAGAGCAUAACACUCUGUAGUUUCAUGUUUUAUUUUGCCGGCCAUUUUAUUAUUAUGUCUUACUUAUAUUUGCUUUUGAACGAGAGUAUGUGCAUUAUUUGAGUUUUCGUAGUUGAAAUAUUGUAAAAAUUCGAAUUUUAUGUUUAAUUUUGCAGGUCAUUUUAGUAUUAUGUCUUGGUUAUAUAUUGCUUUUGUGCCAGAGUAUGUACAGUCUUUGAGUUUUCGAAGUGUGAAUAUUGUAAGUUAAGAAAAUUUUAUGUUUGUAAGUUUAUUGAUAUAAGUCUAAAAUAAUCAAACCAAAUUAUGGUAUGGUGUGUUAUUGAUAACGAUUGCCGUUUAGCAAAGGCGCUGUGUUUAACAUACGAUCAGUAGUACGUUUGCUUAGUUUAAAUAUUUUGUUAAAAAACUUUUGACUAGUUGUUGAACUUGAGCUUUAACACUCAUAGUAACGAUAUUUAAACAAUAUUCAUGACACCAAUAAAAUAUUUAAACAGAUGACAAACACACUGCGGGAUUUGUGGGUUAUAGAUAGCUUUGAUCUUUUUUAAUAACAAGGUCAGGGUUGUGAUACUUGAACAUGGUACUGCGUACGCGUAUUGAUUUAUGAUAAAAGAAGAUAUGGGUUCAGCUAAAGAUUGGCGGGGGUGCGGCAUGUCCCAAAUUGUUAAAAUGUGUCUCAGUAUAUUUUCGUGUCAUUUUCCUAGUAAAUACAGAACACUAAACAGGUUUUUAUUUAUUAUUGACCAUUAUAUUGGGUAACAUACGAUAUUAAUUUAUAUUUACCAUACGACAAUUUUCUAAGUAUUUUCUAGUCUUCAUUUGUUUUAUUCGGGCUAAAUCACGACCAAAUUAUUUAAAACUAUUGAGAUAACAUUACUGUGUAUUCAGUGCUCCUCAAUCAAGAAAAAGUCCAAAGCUUUGGUGCUUACCUACUUAUUAUCGAUUUCACCAUAACUGCAUUAAAAGACAUUCAUACUGUUUGACGCUGUACGAUUUUAAGAUUUGUUUGAACACCAAGAAGUGGAUUUUGUUUGUGAUUUUUUUUGUAUUUUGCGUAUAAUAAAGAGUACCCAGUAUUGUUUUUAAGGCGUAUUUCAAAUUUGCAAAACUUAAUACCUAUUUCGUGAGAUGUAUGCCUCUUUUUGUCUCAUUUUUACAAAGAAUGACAGUCAUAACAUUAAAAUUAUUUAGAUAGCAGCUCACAAUUGUGAGUUAAUUUGGAAUUCUCUUUAACCUUUUCAAGCUGUGUCUUGAUUUAUACGUUGAAAUUAUGUCUACUCCGAUGUAAUUUAACUUAGUGAUUUGUUUUUAGAAACCUGUGUGUUAUUAGCAAUACAUAUCUAAAUAAAGCGACUCAUCAUUGAACAUGUGUCUUUAAAAUAUUCAUUUAAGUGGAAGCUUUAUUUUAAAUUGUACUCAUAAAAAAAAGCAUUUAUGUAUUUUUUUGUCUUCUCUUGUGUGGGCUUGAAAAUAAACCGUCAAUAAAAGGGCAACGGCUUAAUGUAGUUAUAAACUUGUUUCAGUCGAUUCCGCACAGAUGCAAGACUUUUGGUUUUAUUUGAUAAAGUAAUGUAAAACAAAUGUUUUAAUUUGUAAUGGGAUUUUUAUAAUGAGUUUAAUGUAUUUAUUUGUCACUCAGUACAAUCCUUUUUUUAUUUAUCUUUUCUCUAUAAGAAUAUGCUUGGUACGAAUUGAAUUCACAAUAUUUUUUAAAUGUAGAUUCCAAUUAAUUGAUAUACAACAUAGUUGUUAUUUAAGCGAUUUCAAUUCGGGCUAGUAUCAGUAAAAUUUAAUUAAGUGUUAUAGUAAAAGUUUGCUGGGUAGACGCAAUAAUGUACAAAAAGAGAACAGAGAUUGCAAUAAUUGUUCUACAAGAAAGUAAGAUUUUUGGGUUGCGAAUACUAUGCUUUCUUCGAUUGCUCCAAAUACAAUUAAAUACGAUUAUUUUUUUUUAAAGCUGGUAUUCUUCAGGCGAUUCAUCGCUAGAGUUUUAUAACUUAAUCACAAUAUUGUUAUGAUCUAAAAAUAUCAAUAACCUUAUUAUUAUGUACAUUGGAAUAUUAACACAACCCGUAUGUAUUUUUAUAAAUUUAUUCUUGACACAACUUUGAUAUGAUCUUAUAAUUAGUUACGUUGUAUCACUAUGCAUUUUGGACCGAAGGCCUUUGUUUACAAAAUAAAAUGGA